ensembl:lncRNA
CACACUUCUAAUAAAGAUUGCAUCAAUUCUAACACAACGCCAGCAGGUGGCGACAAGUGACUUAAAAAGUGAUUAAUUCAGGAACAAAACAAGUGAAGUUAUGAGUGAGUCAUUGAAUCAUUUGUUCAACUUAUUUUUUUUUUUUAACAAUUCGUUGAAUAUUGAAAAUAUUUUAUAAACAGACUGCAGCAUUCACACAUGCACGUAAUAAAGUUACACAAACUUUAAGAAAAGCUAAAGCAGACUUUUUUGUCUCCAUUAUAGAAAAUACAAGAGGUAAUGGGAAAAAAACAUGGCAAAUUUUAAAUAAAUUAUUAGGUAAACAUAAUAAAAAGGAAAUUAAAGCCAUUGAAUUAGCCGUGGAUAAUGCCCUGAUUAGAGAUCCUACGAUCGUGGCAAACACUUUUAAUAAUUAUUUUAUAGAUAGUAAAUCUGAAAUAACAAGGUCUAAACACCCAGUGCACCAGUGAAACACUAACUGUAGAUCCAGAGUGACGCUCUCGUGUUUCCUCUGCUUCAGGAGUCCAGGCACGACAAAGAGAAAUCCGAAAAGAAGAGAGACAGCACUGGCGCUAAAGAAGAGAAGAAACACCAUAAAUCAUCAGAAAAGCACAGAUAAUCUAUGCUGACACUCGAGAAGUUUCCUGAGUGGCACUGGCGGCAGGAUUCAUCAGCCCAGCUUUCUCAACCACGUCAGCAUCUUAAUUCCCUUCUCCGAUCACCGUCUGGAAAGAGGACUCGCAUUGCCUGCAUCCAAACGUCUGUUGUUUUGCCUAGAAAUGUCGUCGCUCGUAUUUUAAUCUGCCAUUUUUAUUGUGAUAUUUUCAGUACUACACUGAAAGUUUGUUUCCUUUAAUAUUUAGCACAAUGUGCUCCUUGCAUCACAAACAGAUUCAGGUUGAAUUGGUGUCGCUCUCAAAUGCUUGCGUUUUUAUGACCUUGCUUAUUACUUUCUUUUCUGUUUUCUUCUUUUCUUUCUUUUUAAGUAAAAAGAAAGCUCUGUUUUCCUGAAUACUACUUUUCCUUUUUUUUUAAUUCACAUGUGAUAUUUAGUCUAGGUGUUUGAAGCCGUACAAAUGCUCUAUUUGUAUAUUAUGUACACAGAAAUAAAAUGGUUCCAUGUAAUAAGACA